rnacentral:rRNA from 1 species
GACAAACGCUGGCGGCGUGCCUAACACAUGCAAGUCGAGCGCGAAAGGGACCUUCGGGUCCCCUGAGAGCGGCGAACGGGUGGGUAACACGUGGGCAACCUGCCUCAAGGACUGGGAUAACUCCGGGAAACCGGGGCUAAUACCGGGCCAUGUCGUCUGGCGCAAGCCGGCCGACCAAAUGGUAGCUUCGGCCUCCGCCUUGAGAUGGGCCCGCGUCCUAUCAGCUUGUUGGUGAGGUAACGGCUCACCAAGGCUACGACGGGUAGCUGGUCUGAGAGGAUGAUCAGCCACACUGGGACUGAGAUACGGCCCAGACUCCUACGGGAGGCAGCAGUGGGGAAUCUUGCGCAAUGGGCGAAAGCCUGACGCAGCAACGCCGCGUGAGCGAAGAAGGCCUUCGGGUUGUAAAGCUCUGUCAGGGGGAAAGAAGGCACCUGGGUUAAUAGCCCAAGGGCUGACGGUACCCCCAAAGGAAGCCACGGCUAACUACGUGCCAGCCGCCGCUGUAAUAC